UACGAAGGGGGCUAGCGUUGUUCGGAAUUACUGGGCGUAAAGCGCACGUAGGCGGAUCGAUCAGUCAGGGGUGAAAUCCCAGAGCUCAACUCUGGAACUGCCUUUGAUACUGUCGAUCUGGAGUAUGGAAGAGGUGAGUGGAAUUCCGAGUGUAGAGGUGAAAUUCGUAGAUAUCGGGAGGAACACCAGUGGCGAAGGCGGCGACCUGGGCCAAUAUUGACGCUGAGGUGCGAAAGCGUGGGGAGCAAACAGG
rnacentral:rRNA from 1 species